AUGUGCACCGACAUUUUUUCCUCGACAAAAAAAAAACCGUAUGUAUAUGAAAUUAAGUUCUAUUUUCAAAUAACAUUUAGUCAGAGAGAAAUCCGGUCCGAGAGAGAUAGCGCUUCGAGAGCCCUCUGUCCCUUUCUUAAGUGUUGCCAGAAGGGUUGUUUUUAAAACGUAGUAGGAAUGGUAAAAAAAAACAAAUUUGUCAUCUCUUGUUAAAAAAUAUAUUACCAUCUUUCUGAUUAUCCUAAUGAUCCAUAUAUUUUUAAAUUAUCGUCUUUAAUGAGAUUUUCUUUAUUGCAAAAAUUUAGACACGUUAUUAAGGUGUUGUUUGAAAAAGAAUAGGUUAUUAGUAGGAUCUAUGUAAAUUGAACUGGCAUCCCAUCAGCCAUUUUGAUUUGUUAUCAUUUGUGGUGAUCAACGUGGUGCAAACGUGGUGAUAUUUAUCCUACCGUAAUUCGGCAAUAUUUCUUUAUUCGUACAUAAUAAAUAUGGUUAAAAAAUGUGCGAUUCCAGGCUGUAAAAGCGAAUCCUAUGCGGGAUGCGGUAAAUCUUUCUUCAAAUUUCCUAGUGAAGAAUCUUUGAGAAAAAAGAGGCUGGAUGCCAUUCCAAGUAAUACAAAUAUCAAAAAUUAUUCUGUUAUUUGUAGUCUGCACUUCAGGCCCCAGGAUAGGAUAGUGCAUUGUUCUGUUUCAAAACUGAAAUCCGAUGCUGUUCCAACUACUUUUCCUAAGGUUAUUCCACCAGGAAAAGAGAUAGCUGUUCUAAGCGAUAUGGUUAUUCAAGCUGCUUAUUAUCUUACCGCCCGUUUGAUGAGCCACGGUAAAACCCAAACAUUGAAAAUUCGAGGUCAGAAAACUAAUUUACGACAGAAAUUGCAUAAAACUGUUUUAUUCAGUAAUGUGUGAAUGAAAAUAUUUACCAAAUAUAUGUUUAUAAAUCGUAA